CCAGGCCCAGAGUGGAAGCUGGCCUUACUAUGGAAGACCUAAUAGUCAUGGGAUCCUGAAAAAGAAAGAGCAACCCAUUUGAGACCUGAAAAUUUCUAACAGUUCAGUGCUCCAUCAAUGCCUUUCAGUUUAGAGGUUAUAUGUCUCUUCUAACAUGCUCUCCACUUCAUGUUCCCAAGAUAACCAUUGCCUCUGUCACAGAAGAUUUCAAGAACAUUAACCCAGCUGAUGCUUCAAACAGUCAUUGUCAUUUCCAUCUUCCAUCUUCUAGAGCAUGACAGUAAAUUUGGGGGAAAACACUCCAAACCUAGGAGUGCAUUCUGGCCUGUACGCUGAAUGCCCUGAAGUCAUGGAACCCCCAGAAGAAAGAAAGACCCACUGGAGACCUGCCAAUACCUAACAGUUCAGUGCACCUUCAUUGGCUGUCACUUCUGAGGUCAUAUAUCUCUACUAACAUGCUCUUCAUUUAAUGUUCCCAAGGCAACCAUUGACUGUCACAGAAAUUCUCAGAACCCUAAUCCAGUUGCUGCUCCACACAGGCAUUGUCGCUUCCUUCUUCCAUCUUCUACAUCGUGACACUGAAAUCUGAGGAAAAGAACACUAUGCCUGGGAGUGGAUGCUGGCCUUUACUAUGAAAGACCUAAAGUCAGAGAAGAAAAGAAAGACCUGCUUGAGACCUGCCAAUUCCUAACACUUCAGUGCUCUGUAAUUGGCUAUCACUUCUGAGGUAAUUUCUCUCUCUGUUAACAUGCUCUCCAUUUACUAUUCCCAAGAUAGGAUUGCCUCUGUCACAGAACAAUUCAAAAACCCUAAUCCACUUGUUCCUUUAGACAGGCAUUGUCGUUUUCAUCUUCCAUCUUCUACAUCAUGACAGUGCAAUCUGAGGAAAAGAACACCAAGACUGGGAGUGGAAGCUGGCCUGUACUGUGAUGCCCUAAACUCAUGGGGCCCUGAGAAAGAGUGAAGGACCACUGUGAGACAUACAAUUCCCAACAGUUCAUUGCUGCCAAAAUGGCUUUCAGUUCAGAGGUAAUCCUUCUCUCCUACAUGCUCUCUCCAUUUAAUGUGCCCAAGACAGCAAUUGCCUCUGUCACAGAACAUUUCAAGAACCCUAAUCCAGUUACUGCUUCAGACAGGCAUUUUUAAUUCCUUCUUCCAACUUCUACAUUAUGACAGUAAACUCUGAGAAAUAGAAUACCUCCACUGGAAGUGGAAGCUUCCCUAAAACCAUGGAACACUGAAAAAGAUAGAAAGAUCCACUUGAGACAUGCAAAUUCCUAAGAGAUCAGUGCUCCAUGUGUGGCUUUCAGUUCAGAGGUAAUCCAUCUCUCCGGAUACACUCUCCAUUUAAUGUGCCCAAGACAGCCAUUGCCUCUGUCAGAGAACAUUUCAAGAACCCUAAUCCAGUUGCUGCUUCAGAAGUCAUUGUGUGGAUUUCACCUUCCAUCUUCUACAGUAUGACUGUAAAAUCUGAUGAAAAGAUUUCCACACCUUGUCGUUGAAGCCCUCCUUUACUAUGAAUGCCAUAAAGUUAUGCGACCCGGAAAUCAAAAGACCUGCUUAAGACAUGUAAUAUUCUAACAGUUCAGUGCUCCAUCAAUGGCUUUCACUUCAGAGGUAAUCCAUCUCUCCUAACUUGAUCUCCCUUUAAUGUGCCCCAGACAGCCAUUGCCUCUGUCACAGAACAUUUCUAGAACCCUACUGCAGUUUGUACUUCACACAGGCAUUGUUGUUUCCAUCUUCCAUCUUCUACAUCAUGACAGUAAAAUCGGAGAAAAAGAACACCACACCUGGGAGUGGGAGCUGGCCUGUACUAUGAAUGCCCUAAACUCAUGGGACACCAAAAAACAAAGAAAGAUAGACCCAUUUGAGACCUGCAAAUUUCUAACACUACAGUGCUCCAUCAAUGGCUUUCAGUUCAGGGGUAAUCCAUCUCUGUUCACAUGCUCUCCAUGGGAUGUGCCCAAGACAGCCAUUGCCUCUGUCACAGUACAUUUCAAGAACCCUAAUCCAGUUGCUGCUUCACACAGGCAUUGUUGUUUCCGUCUUCCAUCUUCUACAUCAUGACUGUAAAAUCUGAGGAAAAGAACACCAUGCCUGUGAGUGGAAGCUUCCCAUACUAUGAAGGCUCUAAAGUCAUGGGACACUGAAAGAAAAACUUUCUUGAGACGUGCAAAUUCCUAACAGAUCAGUGCUCCGUAAGUGGCUUUCAGUUCAGAGGUAAUCCAUCUCUCCUGAUACACUCUCAUUUAAUGUGCUCAAGAGAGCCAUUGCCUGUGUCACAGAACAUUUGAAGAACCCUAAUCCAGUUACUACUUCAGAAGUCAUUGUCCUUUCCACCUUCCAUCUUCUACUUCAUGACCUGAAAACCUGAGGAAAAGAACACCACGCCUGGGAGUGGAAGCUGAACAUUAGUAUGAAUGCCCUAAAGUCAUGGGACACCGAAUAAGAAAGAAAGAAAGACCUACUUGAGACAUGCGAAUUCCUUACAGGAUGGUGCUGCAUAAGUGGCUUUCAUUUCUGAGGUAUUAAAUCUCUCUUAACAGGCUCUCCACUUAAUGUGCCCAAGACAGCAAUUGACUCUGUCAGAGAACAUUUCAGGAACCCUUAUUCAGUUGCUGCUUCACACAGACAUUGUCAUUUCCAUUGUCCAUCUUCUACAUCAUGACUACAAAAUCUGAGGAAAAGAACACCAUGCCUGGAAGUUGAAUCUGGACUUUAUUAUAAAUGCUGUAAAGUCAUGGAACCCUGAAAAAGUAAGAAAGAAAGAUUCUUUUGAGACCUGCAAAUUUCUAACACUACAAUUCUGCAUUAAUAAUUCCUAACACUACAGUUCUGCAUUAAUGGCUUUCAGUUCUAAGGUAAUCCAUCUCUCCUGAAACACUCUCCAUUUAAUGUGCCCAAGACAGCCAUUGCCUCUGUCAUAGAACUUUUCAAGAACCCUAAUCCAGUUGCUUUACAGUCAUUGUCGUUUCCACCUUCCAUCUUCUACAUCAUGAUUCUAAAAUCUGAGGUAAAGAACACCACACCUGCGAGUUGGAACUGGCCUUUAUACUAUGAAUGCCUUAGGUAUGGGACCCAGAAAAUGAAAGAAAGACCCAUGUAAGACAUGCAAAUUCCUAACAGAAAAUUAAUGCAAAUGAAAGAGAACACAAGAGGAAAAAGAAAGGGAGACAGAUGUAAAUGGAUCAGCAAUGCUGUUUAAGCAGCAGAGGGGCAUAUCUUCAAGACUGGCUACAAUGAAGAUUGAAAUGAUUAAAGUCAUUUGCUUGAAAAAAUAAGUGACAGAAAGAAAGAAACUUACCAUUUUCCUCUGAGGAAAGAGCCAUGUUUUAUUUACCUGUGUAUCUUAGUGCUAACAUAAGUUUUGGCACAAAAUACUAUUUGAAUAAUCUAUUCAAGGCACCUUUUGAAAACCCAUACUAUGAGAGAGAAAAAGAAAAAUGGAAUAGAAAUAUGGACAAACGGAAGGGAAAGGAAGAGACAAUGAGUGAUUGAUUAAUAGAAAGUACAACGUUCCUCUAACUUUCAGCAAGAGAAGUACAACAUACAUAAUUUUAGAUAAUGACAAGAGAGAAAACAUUUUAUUGACAUUAUACACAAGAAUCAUUCUUAGGUGGAAAAUAACAUUUCAUAGUGAUAUAUUAAUUCACAGCCCAUAUCUAUUAGACUUAGCAAUGUCUAAUUGCAUCAAGUAGCUAUUGGUAUGAAAUACAUUGUUUGAAAACUCCUGACAUAAAACUGCAAUCAUUUAUUUAGCUAAUGAUUUUGCAAUGUGGAAUUAUGGGAUGGGCCUAGCUGGGGCCUAGCUGGGCCUAGCUUGGUAGUUUUUCUACUUGGCUUGGCUCCCUCAUGCUCUCCCUCAGUUUUGCUCAUCUUGACUGAAUAUUUUUUCAUAUUUCUGGGGCCUUUUGUAGGGCACCUAUGAUGAAGCUCUAGUUCACACAUUCUCUUAUUGCCCAGCAGAUUAGCCCAGGCUUAUUCAUUUGGUGGCUGAGCAGAGAGCCAAUAGAGAAAGAAGCCUGUAAAGUUUAUGGAGUGUCUUGUCCUGGAUGGGAUACACUGUCACUUUUACUGCAUUGUAUUUGCCCCCCAAACCAUAAAGUCAUCUCAGAUGCAAGGAAGAAAGUCACACUUCAAAAGAUGUAGGUAUAGAAAGGAAUUAAGAAUAUGAUCCUUAUUGCAAUUUGUUACACAAAUAUACUAAAAUGGAAACUAUUGAUUACAAAAUUCUGGGAACAAUGAUGAUAAAAUA